UUCAUAAAACAUAAACGCAUAUCAGAAAAGAAAGGAGGGGGGAAGAACCGAAUCAGAAAAUGAGGGGAGCCGCGAGGGAAGGUGGGAGAGAACCGAAUCAGAAAAUAAGGGGAGCCGCGAGGGAAGGAGGGGGAAGAGGGAGACGGCGCGGUGGGCGUCACUGCCACCAGAGCCGCCGUCGAAUCACCAUGGGGGAGAAGGAGAGAGAAGCAGAACCGCGAAGAGAGAGAGAUUGACGGAGACGUUCACGCCGUUCGUCCUCGUCGCUGCCAUGCGUUGCCGCCGCCGCCGCUAGUUUCACUACCGUUGAACUCGAAGGACAAAGGGAAAGCGACGUUGACAUAGAGAUUGAUGGAAGCCAGUGAAGCGCGUGAGACAAGGAAAGCCGAUUCUGUCACCGCCGCCGCACCCAAUUGCCGUCGGUCGAGCUCGCCGUUGUUGGAUGUGAACCGGUGUCGCGUCCUUGCGGCCAGAGCCACCAGCGCCACUACUACUACAAUAGAGAUGGAAAAACUAAUUUGCUGAAUUUAUUGUUCACUGGUGGUUAAUCACGAGGUCGGUUGUGAAAAACUUGAAUGAGUUGUUCUGGUACCGUAAAAUGUGGACAGGUAUUUCUCUAAAUCCUUCUGAAUGAGCUUUACUAUCUAAUUCUGAAGGCACAAUUUGGACAAGUAUUUUUCUAAAACUUGGGUUUUAUACAUUAGCUAAUUAAGUCAAGUUUAUUUUUCGUUUAACCUUUUCAAACUCUGCUUGCUUAUGUGCUAUGAGUUAUGACUGUUUCGGUCAUCAAUUUGUGACAUCAGUCUCUAUUUUGGAGAUGGCUCACGUCAGGUGCAUAGUUCAGCAAGCUUAAGGGUAAAAGCUAAUUAUUCUUUAUAUUCCUUAUAUUUUGAUUCCACUUACAUAUUAAAUGAGUAUGACUUAUUUUUCUUCUAAUUUUAGACUAAGGUUUCAUAACAGUGAUUCAAUGACAAUAUAAUUCAUGAUAAUUAUUAGUUCGCACGUCACAUUACAAACUAAAAUGAUAAAUAGUCUUUUUCCCCUCCUUUUAUUAAUCUAAUGAGUUUUAGAAUUGAGUUAUAAAUAGUUUUUAGUGUUGAAUGACACCAGGUACUUUUUAAAAAAAUUUAUUUUUGUAACUGGGUCUUCUUUGUUCUCCUUAAAGGUUGGAACUUGUUUUUAAACUAAUGUUAGCUUAGUUCAAUUGGUUCUGCAUUGGUUAAUUGGUAUAAUUUGGUCAAUGUCUAGUUCUAGUAUGCCUAUAAGUUGAAACUAUUAAAUUUGGUUAAUGUCUAGUUCUUGUAUGCCUAAUUAAUUGUUAUUAUUUAAUUAGGAGUUUUGAUGGACAUUAUCUUUACUGCAUAUUUAAUUAACGCAUUCGAAUCCAAUCCCAUGGAUAAGGCUUUGUUCAUUACGUGGUGCUAUGACUCAUGUAUUUUGUAUAUCUGAGAGCUCAUGCUUGUGAUAUUCAAUUUUUCUUUCUGCUAUACAGCUUAUUAUUUCAAAGUUAAACAUAUAUUUAUUAUUGGGCUCAUUUACAUGUUCUAGAAAUCAUCUCCUGUUGUUGUCAGAUAUGCUGAUCGAGAACGUGAAUGGCUUGGUAACUCUUUCAAAUUUUACUUCCUUCAAAACUUAUUGAGUUAAAUAAUGUAUUAGUGUGCCUUAACCAGGUUCUACUUCCUAGCUGAUUAAUAGAUUAUAUUUUCUCUAUCUAGUUUAGUUCAGUUUAAAGAAGGUUUUGAUUGCAUGUUGUAGUUUAGUUUCUUAAGGAAAAAUUAGUGAAAAGAACAGGUUUCACACUGAAAUGUGAACUCAUAGGCAUAUAUAGCUUCAUCUUGUUCUCUCCCUUUUUAUUUUAUGGUAAUUACACAAACCUUGCUUGAA